AUUUUCCUGGAAGAUAAUCAUAGCUUUUAGCAUACUUACAAUCCCAAACCUUAUUCAGAUGUGUUUGCUGAUUAUAAAUAUAAAACUCCAAGUAUAUGCUCUUUUCUCUCUUAAAUUAUUAGCAAUAAUGAUAUUUGAAAAAGAUUAUCUAUUAAAAUGGGAUAAUGUUACUAGAGCAACAAAUAGUGUAACUUGUUUUGUUUGUAAUAGCUUAUCGUUCACAAGGUGCUUUUCUUAAUAUACUGUCUCAUUUAAUCUAAUACCAGCCCUAUGAAGUAGGUAGUAUUAUUACCAUUUUUAUAAAUGAGGAAACAGGGAUUUGGAACCAGGCCCAAUUCACUUUGCUAUUAAGUAGGGGAGUUAGGACUCAAACCCAGGUCUAUUAACAUCCCACACCAAUCAUUUUCAACAUAAUAUUAUUUAUCUUUCUACUUCUUUAUUAUUUACAGCUUUAUUAUGGAAUAAUGGAUAAAAAACCGCAUAUAUUUCAAGUGCCAAAUUUGUAAGUUUUGACAUUCAUAUACAUCUGUGAGAACAUGACAUUCAAGAGAAUGAACAUAGCUGGCAUCCCAGAAGGUUUCUUCAAGACCCUUGCAACCAUCUACAUUAAAGAAGAGAAACAUGCAAAUUGGUGUCACUUCACUACGCCCACCAGCCAAUCAGGAUAAGUAUGCAAAUUAACCCAAAAGAGGUGGAGGUUAAUUUGCAUAUGCAGGCAUGGAGUGAAGACUGAAGGCUCUGCCAGAGUGAAGACUGAAGAUGACUGAAGACUGAAGACGACUGAAGACUGAAGAGGCUUGGCUUCUCCGCUGUGAUCAGAGUGGAGAAGCCUCGAGGCUUGGCUUCUCUGCUGCGACUGGAGCAAAGGCCUGGAUCCCGGGUGCCGGAGGAAAACUGGUGCAGGCAGCCAGGGGAAGGAAGGCCUAUUGCACGAAUCUCUUCAUGCAAUAGGCCUCUAGUUUAUUAUAUGUGCAUAUAUUUCCAUAUUCUCUCUUCUGCUUCAUAAAUGUAUAUCUCUAUUUCUAUAUUAAUACCACACUGUCUUGAUUACUGAAGCUUUAGAGUAAAUCUUGAAAACACA